AUGCUCAAUAGGACAAACGUGGACUUGCAAACCGCACACAUAUUCAGCCUGGAGCGUUACAUCCACAAUUUGGAGGGAAGCUUGGUGGAUUCUCUUCAGAAGGUCAAGCAACAACAUGCGGAAAUUGACACGCACGACGACAUGGAGUACAAGUUCGAGACUCAAGAGUUUGAGAUGGAACAAGUACGUGAAGAUGCAGAUGAGCAACGAGCAAGGGUUAAAACCCUGGAGAAGGAGAACCUAGAGUUGCGGGAAGAGCUGCGAAAGAUGAAGGCCCGAGAAGUGGUGACGGAUGAUAGGAUUUAUAAGCUCCGCAAAGAGAGGGAGUACUGGAAAACCCAGUAUGAGGAAGCCCUUGAUAGAGGAGCGGAACUUCAGGAAGUGGGAGAAAAUGGUCCCUUCAUCAGCAAUGAUAAUGAAUGGGACGGUACUAUGACCAUGGCAGCUGAAUCACGCAUCGGUCUGAGUUAG
rnacentral:rRNA from 1 species